rnacentral:rRNA from 1 species
UGGCGGCGUGCCUAUACAUGCAAGUCGAGCGGAUCGAUGGGAGCUUGCUCCCUGAGAUCAGCGGCGGACGGGUGAGUAACACGUGGGUAACCUGCCUGUAAGACUGGGAUAACUCCGGGAAACCGGGGCUAAUACCGGAUAACACCUACCCCCGCAUGGGGGAAGGUUGAAAGGUGGCUUCGGCUAUCACUUACAGAUGGACCCGCGGCGCAUUAGCUAGUUGGUGAGGUAAUGGCUCACCAAGGCGACAAUGCGUAGCCGACCUGAGAGGGUGAUCGGCCACACUGGGGACUGACACACGGCCCAAACUCCUACGGGAGGCAGCAGUAGGGAAUCUUCCGCAAUGGACCAAAGUCCGACGGAACAACGCCGCGUGA